rnacentral:rRNA from 1 species
UACAGAGGUCUCAAGCGUUGUUCGGAUUCAUUGGGCGUAAAGGGUGCGUAGGCGGCGCGGUAAGUCGGGUGUGAAAUCUCGGGGCUUAACUCCGAAACUGCAUUCGAUACUGCCGUGCUUGAGGACUGGAGAGGAGACUGGAAUUUGCGGUGUAGCGGUGAAAUGCGUAGAUAUCGUAAGGAAGACCAGUGGCGAAGGCGGGUCUCUGGACAGUUCCUGACGCUGAGGCACGAAGGUCAGGGGAGCAAACGGG